rnacentral:tRNA from 1 species
GCAGGAAUGGCGGAACGGCAUACGCGCUUGACUUAGAAUCAAGAUCUUGAGAGUUCGAAUCUCUCUUCCUGUA